rnacentral:rRNA from 1 species
AUGGCGUUAGCCACCGCCGCCGCCCUGCCGGCGACAGCAGCGGCCACCUCGACGUCGUUUCCGUCUCUCCUCCAACACCACUCACCCGGCAGCCGCCGAACGGUCACAGCCCUGGCCUUCGCGCGGCGCUUCCGCAGCAAAAACCCUAGCCCCUUCCGCUCCGGCAGCAAGGCCGCCGCCCCGACCCCGACCCCGGCCCACGCCCCCGCCCCCGAAGACGACUUCGGCGGCCUCGAGGGAGAGCUCUGGCGCCUCCGCCGCAGCGCGGAGCUGCGAUUCCAGCGCCUCGCCGCGGAGGCCGACGAAGCCUACAGCGACCUCCGCUCCUGCGUCCGCGUCGUCGGCGGGGACCGCCUGGUCCUGACCUUCCGCCGCUCGUCGCUGCGCUUCGCCGCAUUCGCCCUUCUCUGGUCCCUCGCUCUCUCCGCCGCGGCCUGGGCGUCGCUGGGGCUGGCCUUGCGUGCUUGGCGCCAGCUAUGGGGGCGGGGUUGGUGGGAACGACCGGAAGGCGGAGCUGUGGUGACGAAGCGGGACCGGAGCAUGGGAGGGAAGGAGGUGGUGGUGGCUGUAUCGUCUCCUGUGCUGCCUCCGGUCAGCCGCGUCCAGGAGCCCGCAAGGAAGGUCAGGAGGAAGGAACCACAGGGAAGGGUCCCAGAGUGGUGGCCUGAGGUAGAAACCGAGUUGGUGGAACUGGGGCAAGAAGCGGAGAGGUGGGCGAUAUUGGCCAAUAGAUUGGUCCGAGCAAUCAUUGACAAUAGGGUUGCGGGGAGGGAUUACAGAUACGAUGAUGCAGUUCAACUAAGGCAGUUAUGCAAGAUAUCAGGAGUAAAGGUCUCAUUUGACGCAGAAAAUGCACGCGAUUCUUUCUAUAGGGCAACAACAGGCUUUGUUCUGGACGAUUGCAGCAGAACAGCAGAAGACAUGGGGACAACACAAAUUAAUGGAGAGAAUCCAAGAGAUUUUCUUGCUGGUCUUUCUGUGAAUAUUGGGUUGGACAAGUUCCGUGCUGCCACACUUAUUUGUGCAUCAGUUGCUGCUCGCACUCGUGCGUGUCUCUUGCAAUGCUGGGCUCUAGAGAUUCAGGGAAAACGAACGGAGGCACUAGAUGAGCUUGUAAAGAUCUGUAGAAUUCAUCGUGUAUUCCCUCCAGAAGAAAAUUCUGCAGAAAUGGAAAUGGUCGCUGGUGGACUUAAAAAGAAUUUGGAAGUUGCAGAGAGGGUUCACCUUCUCUCUCUAUACAGGGGCGUAUGUACUACUGGUGUCAAAACCGCUGCAGAAGCUCUUGGCCUGAGCUUGCCGGACCAAUGA